AAGAAUUGAUUAUUACGGUGGAUAAUGAAUUGGGGAUUGAUGUGCAAGAAGUUGAAAAUUCGGUGCAAUUGUGAAAUAUGUGAGUGUAUGGCAUGUGAUAGAUGUAUGUGUGGGUGUAGGAGAUAAUUUUCUCCUCAAUUAUAAUUCUCUCUUUUCUCUCACAGUAAACACAACACACACCCACGCCACUCUCUCAUCUCUCCCACGGCUUCUCUCUCUCUCUCUCUCUCUCUCUCUCUCUCUCUCUCUUCAAAUUUCUUCCCCAAAUCUCAAAUUAACCAAGGGAUCUUGGAGUAUUCUUCUCCUAGAGUCGAGUUCUAGCCGUUGAUCGCGUUGGAAAGCUCGGAGGAGGUAUUUUCGGGAGAGGUUUUGCCUGGAGAUUCUUGGGGUUUUAAUUUCAACCUUCGAGGUACUCGCCAUGGCACUUAGCUUGGAUUGCAUGGAGUGCACAUGGAGACGUCUCUUGGGAGCUUCGUUGGAAUUAUUAAGGAGUUGUUUAUCAACUAGUCUAAUUCAUGUUGUGUACCUCACCUGCAAUUGAAUGUAGUAUCUUUUGGUUUGAACAUAUGUAAAGCUAUGUAUAAACUCAUCUCUUUGAUUAUUGUGAAGCCCUUUUUUUAAUGGAAGACGUUUUGGAGACUUUACGUAAAAAAAAAAAAAAUUUAGAGAGAAGAAGAAGAGACUUUGAUUCUUUAUUUGGAUUGACAUGUCAGUUAAGGGUAAAUAUAGUGUGAGAGGAAGACUUUUGUUAUGAAAAAUAUAUUAUUAUUUUAGCUGAAAAUCGAGGGCGUGACAUGUAGCCACAUGUCUAAUUCAGAGCGGCAUGAGAAUCACUUCUAUGUUUUCUUUAUUUAAGUGUCUUUGAGUUUUGUUGUUCAACUUGAGGACAAAUUGUUUUGUUUUUAGAGGAGGUGUAUGAUGCAGUAGAAUUAAGGUUACUUAUGUCAUUAUAGAGUCUUUAGGGCUAGUAGAGUAUUGAGUCUAUAAAUAGGUGAGUGAGUCUCUCAUUUGUAAGCUUUUGUUAUUAAGAAUAUUGAAUAUAUUGAUUGAGACAUAGUUUAUCUCUCUACCCUUUGGGAUUUAUCCCCUUUAAUGAGAUUUUGCUCAUUUCUUUGAAUCUUUGAUUCCUUUGGUAUUUUGGUUUGCACCAUUUGGCUUAACGGCAAGUGAAACCUUGCAACAGGAUCUAGUUGGGUCGUUUGAAUAGAGCGGGAUGAUCUGUUCGGAGAUUUCAUUGGGUGAUGCCGAGGCGGGGUUGUCUCGACGACGUUUUCUCUUUGCUCUCAGUGCCUUUGGUUGUUUGUGAGGAUCGAUUUGCGGAUUUCUUGGCGACCGAACCUGGGAGUGUUUCGGGGCUGGACAACAUGGGUCUUCUCUGUUUUUUGGUGUUUGGUGGUUUUUUGGUAUGGUUGGCCUGUGGUAGAUGGUGGUUGAUGGGCGGUGUGCGGCGGCUAUGAUUUUCAUUUGGUCAGGUAUCUCGAUAGUGGAGAGGCAUUUUUUCUGUGUUGCUCUGGACAACAACAGGGAUUGGUUCCCCGGGUUCUAAUGGUGGCAUAGAAGCGUCUUUUCCGAUGGGGUGGCGAAUCAGAGGAUGGGGUGUGGUGGUUGUCUUGGAUGGGCAGGGGUGGUUGCAUUUUGUUUACGGUCUUUUUUGUUGGUUUCUAGCCAACACCUGAGUCUUGGGUAGCCUUGAAAAUUAAUUAAUUUUAAUUUUCAAUUGCUCUUGUUCUUUUAAUCUUUGUACUUUUUUGGAGAUUAAUAAAAAAAAUUUGCCGAUCAAAAAA